CUGGCUCAGAUUGAACGCUGGCGGCAUGCCUUACACAUGCAAGUCGAACGGCAGCGCGGGGCAACCUGGCGGCGAGUGGCGAACGGGUGAGUAAUAUAUCGGAACGUACCCUGGAGUGGGGGAUAACGUAGCGAAAGUUACGCUAAUACCGCAUACGAUCUAAGGAUGAAAGUGGGGGAUCGCAAGACCUCAUGCUCCUGGAGCGGCCGAUAUCUGAUUAGCUAGUUGGUAGGGUAAAAGCCUACCAAGGCAUCGAUCAGUAGCUGGUCUGAGAGGACGACCAGCCACACUGGAACUGAGACACGGUCCAGACUCCUACGGGAGGCAGCAGUGGGGAAUUUUGGACAAUGGGCGCAAGCCUGAUCCAGCAAUGCCGCGUGAGUGAAGAAGGCCUUCGGGUUGUAAAGCUCUUUUGUCAGGGAAGAAACGGCCUGUUCUAAUACAGUGGGCUAAUGACGGU
rnacentral:rRNA from 1 species